rnacentral:rRNA from 1 species
CCUACGGGAGGCAGCAGUGAGGGAUAUUGGUCAAUGGGGGGAACCCUGAUGCAGCGACGCCGCGUGGGUGAAGAAGCGCCUCGGCGUGUAAAGCUCUGUCAGCAGGGAAGUAAGUGACGGUACCUGACCAAGAAGCCCCGGCUAACUACGUGCCAGCAGCCGCGUGAAUACGUAGGGGGCAAGCGUUAUCCGGAUUUACUGGGUGUAAAGGGGGCGUAGACGGCGUUGCAAGCCAGGAGGGAAAGUCAGAGGCCCAACCGCGGGACUGGUCUUGAAACUGCGUGGCUGGAGUGCAGGAGGGGCAGGCGGAAUUCGUGGUGUAGCGGGGAAAUGCGUAGAUAUCAGGAGGAACACCGGUGGCGAAGGCAGCCUACUGGACUGCAACUGACAUUGAGGCCCGAAAGCGUGGGUAUCAAACAGGAUUAGAUACCCGAGUAGUC